GAGUUUGAUCCUGGCUCAGGACGAACGCUGGCGGCGCGCCUAACACAUGCAAGUCGAACGAGCGAGAGAGAGCUUGCUUUCUCGAGCGAGUGGCGAACGGGUGAGUAACGCGUGAGGAACCUGCCUCAAAGAGGGGGACAACAGUUGGAAACGACUGCUAAUACCGCAUAAGCCCACAGCUCGGCAUCGAGCAGAGGGAAAAGGAGCAAUCCGCUUUGAGAUGGCCUCGCGUCCGAUUAGCUAGUUGGUGAGGUAAUGGCCCACCAAGGCGACGAUCGGUAGCCGGACUGAGAGGUUGAACGGCCACAUUGGGACUGAGACACGGCCCAGACUCCUACGGGAGGCAGCAGUGGGGAAUAUUGCACAAUGGGGGGAACCCUGAUGCAGCGACGCCGCGUGGAGGAAGAAGGUCUUCGGAUUGUAAACUCCUGUUGUUGAGGAAGAUAAUGACGGUACUCAACAAGGAAGUGACGGCUAACUACGUGCCAGCAGCCGCGGUAAAACGUAGGUCACAAGCGUUGUCCGGAAUUACUGGGUGUAAAGGGAGCGCAGGCGGGAAGACAAGUUGGAAGUGAAAUCUAUGGGCUCAACCCAUAAACUGCUUUCAAAACUGUUUUUCUUGAGUAGUGCAGAGGUAGGCGGAAUUCCCGGUGUAGCGGUGGAAUGCGUAGAUAUCGGGAGGAACACCAGUGGCGAAGGCGGCCUACUGGGCACCAACUGACGCUGAGGCUCGAAAGUGUGGGUAGCAAACAGGAUUAGAUACCCUGGUAGUCCACACCGUAAACGAUGAUUACUAGGUGUUGGAGGAUUGACCCCUUCAGUGCCGCAGUUAACACAAUAAGUAAUCCACCUGGGGAGUACGACCGCAAGGUUGAAACUCAAAGGAAUUGACGGGGGCCCGCACAAGCAGUGGAGUAUGUGGUUUAAUUCGACGCAACGCGAAGAACCUUACCAAGUCUUGACAUCCCUUGACGAUGCUGGAAACAGUAUUUCUCUUCGGAGCAAGGAGACAGGUGGUGCAUGGUUGUCGUCAGCUCGUGUCGUGAGAUGUUGGGUUAAGUCCCGCAACGAGCGCAACCCUUACUGUCAGUUACUACGCAAGAGGACUCUGGCAGGACUGCCGUUGACAAAACGGAGGAAGGUGGGGAUGACGUCAAAUCAUCAUGCCCUUUAUGACUUGGGCUACACACGUACUACAAUGGCGUUAAACAAAGAGAAGCAAGACCGCGAGGUGGAGCAAAACUCAGAAACAACGUCCCAGUUCGGACUGCAGGCUGCAACUCGCCUGCACGAAGUCGGAAUUGCUAGUAAUCGUGGAUCAGCAUGCCACGGUGUAUACGUUCCCGGGCAUUGUACACAGCGCCCGUC
rnacentral:rRNA from 1 species